UCUCUUUUAUGUAUUUCCUGGGAUCGUUUCCCAAAACUACUUGGAUUCUUGUCUCCGGGUUGGCUUCUGGAGGACUCUAAAACCAUAACUGCUCUUAUCACUACAGCUGACUUCUUUGAAACCAUGAAAAUACUGCUUUAUUUGCAUUCGUCUUCUGCUAGUUAGAGUCUACCUUCAUAAAACCUAAAAUCCAACAAAAAAUUAAGACCAAAAUACAAAUAUUUCUCACAGUACCUCUCACAUAGAAGUUACUCAAUCUGUAUUUAGAGAGCAAAGAAUAAUGGGAGAUCAAAAGAUUACUCUGUGACUAUAAAAAUAGAGCGAGGACUAUUGAUUGGUUACUAAGAAUAUUUUACAAACUUUUAUGGUUUGACACACCCUUUUAAUGGUGGUAUGUCUACCUAAUAUAUCUGCACCUUCCCAAAAUCCCCUCCCCUCGAUGUCAGCAUCAGGACUCCCCUCCUCCUCUAGCUAGAUUUGAGAGACACUUGCCAUUAUCUCAUCAUUAUUUUAUCAUGUUAAUGUACUUGUGUAACCUUUUAUAUUUUCUAAAUAUGAAAAAUAUUUUACAGAGAUUACAUUUGACGCAGCUGCUUCCUGAAGACCUAGAGAUCACUUUAAUCUUACAAGCACAUUCUUCAGAUUGUCGUGUGGGUGGGUAACUUCCGCCAGACUUUUCUGGAGAUGGCUAAUCCAGCCGUGGGAUGUGGUUUCUUCUAACAGCCAGUCAGGAAAAUCUUGCUUCUCAAACUCCUGUCUUGACCCCUUCCUGAACUUUGCCUCCUGGAUCUUGAGGUCUGCCUUCUGUGGAAGAGAAAUACUAGAAUCAAUGAACUGUGAACUAGAGCCCUGGGAUUAUCAACAGCCAGCUGAAAUUUUGAGAGCCACCUUAUAGAAAGCCUAACAGCAAAGACUGGAGAGAGGCUUCCAGCCAACAGCCAGCAAGGAAUUGAAGCCCUCAGUCCAAUAGCAGUGAGGAAUUGAAUCCUGCCAACAGCCUCGUGGAUGGGUUGCUUGCUGCCUGAAUCUAACUCCUGCUACUACUGCAAAUACCACUGCCAUGAAUAUCCUCAGCAAGACCCCCUUCCAGACCUGCAUGAACAACCGACUGCUUCAUGCUGGGCUUCAGACAUGAGAGGCUAGGAGUAGGAGGCAUGCCUUGUUCAAAGAUACCCAGUUCUCCCAGGACCAUUUGUUGAAAAGGCAGGCACCUCAUUUUACAGAAGAGGAAACUGAGGCCCAGAAAGAGAAGUGGCAUGCCCAAGGCUGUGCCAGAAGCAAAGUGUAAAAUAGAUCCUGAGCCUCCGACUCCUGGUCUUAAAUGUGGGAAAUAGUCUACAGUUUGGAAGACACCAGAGAAAAAUGCUCCACAGCUCGCCCUGGUGACUCACUACAACUUAUGGGAAGAUGUGAGAUUAUUCUGUAUUCUAAUGUAUGUUAGAAGGCACACUCCACCCAAAGCCUUCCUGUGUGUUCCUCCCUGUGAGCUCACAUCCCGUUCACCAGCUGACUGGGAAGGGAAGUCAGGACCAGCCCUGACCCCAUCACACCAUCAUAACCUCGGGAUGGCAGGGCUGGAAGGCACCUCAGACGUCAUCCUUUGCAGACUCUUCAUUUUACAGUGAGAGGCAUGACGUGUCCACAGCUGGUUAGUGCCAAAGCCUGGGACAGGCUUCACAUUGUCCAGCUCUUAGUCAGAGCACUGUUGACAAUGUCUGCCUUCACUUGGAAUUCAGCACCUGCUUUCAGUAUAAACCCCUGCAUUUCACUAAAACUGAGCAGACUGCUGGUUUAAAAAAGAGAGGUCCAUCCAGCAGGGAUGAUGCUUUUCCUCGUUGAAAGAGGACAUUCACCUAAUGGGAGACCUGGAGUCAGAAUCUUUCUGAUGUGUGACUUGGCACAGUAACACAAUGCAGGAUGCUGGUGUGUUAAUAAAAAUAAAAAUUGCAUCGCCUACCUCAGAGUCGACAACAAUGUCAAGGAGUUAAUAGUCUUGGCAACACAGAGGCCACUGGACAGAGGCAUAACCUUGCGUGGCAGCUGCACGGGAAUUGGAUUUGGCUCAGGUGUUUCAGAUGACUAAGAACAAAGGGGACCACUCUUGGUAUAGAAGUUCAUCUCGUCGGGAGCAUCUGUGGUUCUUUUAUAAGCAAUGUACAUUCUACAAUAGAGGCAGACCCAGAAAUAAUUCAGAUAUUGGAGUUAGAAGAUCAGGAUUCUAAAAAAACCAAAAGAUCCUGCCUUACUAUGCACCUAUGGCCCUUCAAAGGCGAGAGUAGAAUCUGCUAUGAUUUAGAAGCAAGCAAUAAAAAGUACACAUCAGGUGAGUGGAUGCUAGCUAAGACCUUGGGCUUUGGGGUCAGACAGGCCUGGGUUUAAAUCCUGGCCCUGUCAUUCUGGGGAAACAUGUUUCUGCUUUCUCCUAUAUGAAAUAGAGGCAGUGGGUAUCCUGAACAUGUCACCUUUACUUGUCCAGCUUGUCAGUUAGGGUUUGGUUAGGGAAACAGAGCUGCUGUAAACAUUAUGGGAAUAAGGGAUUUUAUUCAGAAUUGGAGCCUGCACAGAUGUAGAAGGAGGCAUGAAGAGGGUAUUGGAGGAUUGCCCACUAUGCAGUCUGCAUCCUGAGUCUGUGGUGAGGCUGGACACGUUCAAGCUUACAGGAGAACUGGAGAAAGCAAGCAACACAGCGGUGGAAGUGAGACCACUGAAGCAGGGACAAGAGUGGAGGAGACAAACUGGACUCGGAACAAACUGGGAGCCUCUGCAUCCAUCCGUAACUGUCUGGCCGUGACAGUGGUUAGAGAGGAGUGGCUUCUGUGAAACUCUCACAAUCUCAAAUCUCCCACAAGUGCCUCUUUCAGCUAACUCUAAACUGGUACCAUAGAGGAAAUGGAUUCUGAAAACUUGGUCUCCAACCUUAGACAAAUUGAAUAAUUAAUAUGUCCUCUCCUGCUUCUUCUGUAACUGAAUUUGCAUUGGGAAGCAGGCCUGUCACUCUCAGACUUUGUGGUUUGAGUAGGGCUCACUUCAGCACCACCUUUUCCUCUUCUCAGCCCCACGGACUGGCAUGAGACUCAGGCCUGGCCAACUGAAUGUCACACACCUAUGACCAUCAGUUGGCUCAGAGAUGGACUCAGGACACCAUCACAGCCAAUGAAACCCUGUUAGGGAAAUUUGUCAGAACCAUACAAAGAAAUAGCUCCACUUUUCCAUAGAGAUGAGACAUAAGCCUGGACUAACUGGUGUCCAAUUUGCCAUCAAGAGAGCAUCUGAGAAGACAGAGGAAAACUGGGGAAAGCGAAGUCUAAGGAAGGUGAGUAAGGACAAGUCCAGUUGAUAUUACAUGAAUCACCUGGACCUGGAAAUCAAGGCAUUGCUGGAUUCAAGGCCAAGAAAAAUUGGAAGCUGGCUUGAAUCAGGUUCUAUCACUUGCAGUUGAAAAGGUCCAGACUAAUAUGAUAACAAAGGAGCAAGUAAGCAAGAUUCUGCCCUACAGUAAGUGCUCAAUGCAUGUCAGCUGGUAUUAUUAUUAUACAGACUUCUAUUUCUAGCCCUUUUAUUUCUACCACCUCUCUUCUGUGUUUUAUGUAAAGUGCAUAAGGAUUGUUCUGUUUGGAAACAUCAAACCAUAUAAAAUGACACCAGCAGGUCCCUUUCUGUCUGUCAGUGUCCACAAGCUCAACAACCAGGAUCAGCAGACAAAAACAGCUAAGCUGGAGUCAGUGUUUUUAUGAAGAAACAGGAAAAGAACUUACUUGGGAACUGUAGCUCAUCCUCCAAUAUUCUCCAUCCUAUCACUCUUUUCAUGACAGUUUCUUCUUGGCCCUGAAGUUGCCUUGUCAUGGCUCCCUGCCUCUGUCCUUUCUCUGUCUCACUUACAUCUUCCAAUGAGGAAUACAGCAAGACCUUUGGAUGAGGACCUCCAAAGGUCCUCAGUAUCCUUAGGACACUCGGUGCAGAACUAGAGGGACUGAGAGGAGGAGCUUUUGCAGGUUAAAUGACUAGUGAAUGGCCUUUCCUUAUAUUUCCAUUAGAAAUGGGAUUAGCUACACCUGAGAAGGAAUGACUUUGGAACAACUGAUCCCUAGCUUUCCAAAAUAUGAGAAAUUGAGAUGCAGGGAGUAGUAAGCACCUAGUUAAUGAGUCAAAGCAUAUUUAUAAAGUUCACAGGGUACAUAGCAUAUAGCAGCUGUUCUCUAUCUCAGUUGAGUUUUGACUAGGAAAUGGGCUUAGGAUAAAACACAUAGGCUUUUGAGUAAUCAUUUGUAAGAAAUUGUAGAUAGUGACCACAGUUUAAUAGCAUUAGAUAAAUUAUGAAAAGUCACUGAAAUACCUUCUCUGGAAAAUGUUAGAAGCUCAAGUACAAUGGCUUAGUUAAAGGCAGGUGGGGGAGAAACUUGAAGAAUGUGGUCCAGUACAAGAAUACCCCAUUUUUCCCCUAAGGCAAUGAAAAUGACAUGAAGUAAUCAUAGUUAUUUAUACAGGAACAAUUUAGGAGACUUAGAAUAUUCACUUCUUUUGCCUUCUAGCUGAGCAUCAAAAUUCUCUCUCUGUCUCUGCCUCUCUCUCUCUAUUUUCCACUUCUAGCUCCAACUAUUUUAAAUCCCUCCCCCAAUAGAACUCAUAACAAACAUAAAACAACAUUUGUUGUAUGUUUACAAUAGAUGUUCAAGCUAAUAUUUAUGUAGGCUUAGCCCUGGCAUUAAAUUAAGGUUUGGUUCACCAACAGGGUGCCUAGAGACUUCACCUCUAUUUCCAUGAGGGACUGAACAGCCUCUUGAGAAGGGACUCAUCAAAAUGGAAGAGUUGGCAAUAAGAAGUUUGGCUAAAUAACCAAGCACUGAAGUUGCAGAGGAGAAAGGAUUUGAAAGGCAGUACAGUGUCCAGGGGCAAGUUGGCAAUUUUUAGCAGGAGGUGAAGUGAUGCCAGCAGAGGUAACAGUGCUCAGAGGGACCAGUAGUCCCCAGGAGGAGCAGGGGAAUCCCCAGUGGAUCUGAUUUGUUCAAGAGCACAUGUGAGAUUAUCAGCUGGCGUUACAAUUUUGGAGUGGCAGUGAGAAGCAGUGAAUUUGAGGUCACUCAAUUUGCAGACCCCAAAGGGUGAAAUGUUGAGAAACAUGAGUUACACAUGUAUUUAACAGCUCUUGUGUAUUAUCACAAAUCCUAUUUCACCUCUCAUGCCCCCGAGGCUUUGGUGUCCAGUUCUCUGAAGACUUCAUCAAUCCUCAGCCAUAAAUCACCUGAGAGCAACUCACCUUGCUUCAUACUAUGAAGCUCCCUGAUGUCACAGCAUGGCAGGCCUGUGGCAACCCCUCAACACUUAUGCAUGAUCCCAAACAGCUAGAGGAUUAACACCUACGGUGUAACCCUUGACCAGCAGGAAAUGGAAAUUACUGUCUUUUUGUCCCCGCAGGUGAAUGGUUCUAAAAUGCAUUUUAUAAGCCUUCUGAAAUAGUCCCACAGGUCAAGCACCUACUUGCUCCAGUGGUGACCAACUCAAUGAUGCAUCCUUGGGUUGACUCUCCCUCCUUUCCAGUUCACUUUCCCCGCCCCUCACUCCUGCACCUCAGCAUCACAUUCCUGAAUAAACCACUCACACAUCUGUCUUAUUUCAGACUCUGUUUGGGGGAAUCCACAAUAAAAAUUUGUCAUUUUGAGUUAAACAUUGCUCUCACCUUGAAGACAUAUUUCCAUACCUAGAGAUUUCUGAAGUUCUCUCCCUUUUCCUAUCAUCUCCUUUGUGCUUUGUCUGACCUCCAUGUUACAGAGCCCCAUGAUAUUUAGAGCCAGUACUGCUAGGGAAGUAGUUCAGUUGUGUUUUAAAUGGUUCAGCAACUUGUAACAUCAACUGAGAACCAGAGGAAUACACUUGGAGGCCAAGAAAAAAAUGUUAGCUAAUAUGUACCAUACAGUAUGAUUCCUUGGGUAAGGGAAAGUAUAUGCAAGUGACAGAGGAAAAUUGAAAGUUGUAGCCCUUUUUUGGACUUUAGAUUUGGAAUUAAAGUUUCUCUUCUCUUGAAAGACCUUCUUUUUGUGGAUAAUGAUGAAUCUGAAGACCAGAACAGUGGGCCAAUUUGCCUUAGUUGAGAGUGGCAAAUAAAUGAAGAACUGAAGAACGUAUCUCUUUAACUAGUGCUCCUUUGUUGAGAAGAUACAAAACAAACAAUUGAAGGGUAUGGAUGAAGCCAUUGGCUUAUUCAUGUCUCUGUUGAUCAUAAUGAGAUUAAUAUAUAUAGGACAUUCACACAAAGAGGAUAUUGACUCGAUGGCUUACAGAUUAUUAGAGUUAGAAAUGUGACCUACUACUAAAGGAAGAAUGUUUCAGGUGUGGAUCUCUGAUUUAAAAAAUACACCACACUUGCCUCAGUGAAGCAAGUCAACUUAGGUGCUGAUACAAUGCCACUGCAGCUGUGCUGAGUUCAUGAAAUCAGAUCCCACUCUCUUCACCUACCCCUACCGUAUUCAUCCUACUUUCCGUCUGCUCUGCCCUUCCCAUUUGGUAACCUAGUCAUGAAACACCUGGCUCUGGGUCCUUCCUUCAGCAUCACUCCACGUUGUACUGCUGGCAUCGCUUUUCUUGGCACAGAACCUCUUAGGGCUGCUAUCCUAGGAGUAGGUGCUACUCAGGCUGGCUUAGUCCCAGGCUUCACUCACUUCUUGGCCCAUGGCCAGGAGGACCGGAAAGAACAAACUCUCUGCACAUCUCUGCAGGUGGCCACAGAGCCCCCAUCUGAGCCUUGCUGAUGGAGAAGAGCAUGCUGCAUCACAAGAUAACUGUGUGGCUCUGUUCAAAAACCUUGUUUAGAAGUUAUUAUUUCUUUUAUUGCAUUAGAAUUUGCCUCACUGUAGCUUUUGUGCUUCUGUCCUGGUUCAGCCUUAGAUAGCAGUGCAGCCUGGUCCAUGUGAAAGCUCUUGCAAUAGGCCUUUCUGCUAGUCAGGAGUUCUCAGACCCAUCCCUACUCUUCACUUUUCUCAAGACUAAUAUCAGACUCCUGGGCUCUUCAAGGUUUCCUCAUAUGAUAAAAGUUCUAAGCCCUCCAUUGUCCUAGUCACUGUCCUCUCUGUUCCAUCCCUGUCUGCCCUUCCAAGAUGCUGCACCUGGAGAUGAAUUUGUCCUUCCUGGGGCAAGUCACCAUGAGAUGAUUACUUUUGGAUCAUACUGAAUUUGUGGGUUAAAUAAACUCAUAGGUCUUUAUCUCAUGCACUAAAUCCAAAUUCGAUCUCUUGCCGUAAAUCAUUUUUUUGAAUAGCUGAACAAUAAGUAAAUAAUACACAAAUGAAAACUAAUCAAUAUUUGAACAUCCUCAGUAUUUUCAGCCCUAGUUUGAGCCAGACAUAGCUCAUCUUGUAUACUUCACUAAGGACACUUUAUACGAUCAAGCAAUUAAUAUUAUGAUGUCAUGUCUCGCAAGCCCCAUAGUGUCACUUCCAGUCUCUUCACCACAAAGAACGUUGAAGCCUUCGUAUUUUUUUGAAAAUCAUAUUUCUAGCUGCAGGAUGGGAUGUAAGAAAAGUUCAGAUUAGGAUUAUUCUAGGCUCCUGACUAUAACUAAAAUCCUGAUUUUUUAUGGAAAGGAAUGAGGAUCAUUCCUUCAAAUUAGAUUUUUGUGAUAAAAAGAAAAAAGUUGGUAAUCUAUUCAAAAUUGUAACAAAAAUAACUGCAUUUUUCUUUGGAAAAUAAUAGUUGAUUCCUUUUUGCUUUUUUUACUUAUGAAUUGGGGUGCAAUAGAGUUUAAUAAAAAUGAUGUGAAACACUCUUAUAAGGCUAAUUUAUCACAUUUGCUUCAAGGAAUUGUCCUUUCUAACAAAAUUGUGAAAUGGAACUGAACAGUAGCAUGAUGAGGCCUCUACCAGGAGGAGGUACAGAACAAGGCAGGAGGUCAGUGGUUAAAGGACUCCUUGCUUAUGCUCAAGAAAUGUGGACCUUAUUAGAGGUGACACAGUGAAAUCAGUCACCUGAUUUCGCAGGUGACUGUGGAGCAAGAAUGCAAAUCCACAAUAUUAGGAUGAAUGUGAGAGGAGAAGGGAAGGAGGCCAUGAGGGAAAAAAGGACAUCUAAUUGGGUCUGAAAGGAAGGGUAGAAUUUAAGUAAAGAGCACUGUGUACAUAUGGGAAUACCAUGUACUUUCUCAUGGAGAGAGGCCUUCUGACAGUCCUGCAUUGAUCCUGCUUCUUUGACCAUCCCUUGUUAGCCAGCAGGUCAUUUGGCCUCACUAGUUGCCUCAGUGCUGAGUGAUAGACUCAGCAGUCCCCAGCCUCUUUGGCACCAGGGACUGGUUUUGUGGAAGAUAAUUUUUCCAUGGAUCAGGGAGAGGAUGGUUUCAGGAGGAUUUAAGUGCAUUACAUUUACUGCGCACUUUAUUUCUAAUAUUAUUACAUUGUAAUCUAUAAUGAAAUAAUUAUACAAUUCACCAUAAUGUAGAAUCAGUGGGUGCCCUGAGCUUGUUUUCCUGCAACUAGAUGGUCCCAUCUGGGGGUGAUGGGAGACAGUGACAGAUCAUCAGGCAUUAGAUUCUCAUAAGGAAUGCACAACCUAGAUUCUUCACAUGUGCAGUUCACCAUGAGGUUCACGCUCCUAUGAGAAGCUAAUGCCUCCGCUUAAACGACACAGGAGAUGGAGCUCAGGUAGUAAUGAGUGAAAUGGGGAGCAGCUGUCAAUACAGAUGAAGCUUUGCUUGCUUGCUUGCCGCUCACCACCUGCUGUGCAGCCUGGUUCCUAACUGGUACUGGUCAGUGGCCUGUGGUUGGGAACUCCUGGUAGACUAACAACAGAACAAAGCCAAGUCUCAAGGAGAGACAGUUGUAUAGAUGCCUUCCUGCCCAUUCUCUGUUGUGGGGGCCAAAUCACACAAGACCUGCAUUUAAUUCUUUAUGGGCUUAGGCUGUGAAUUAAUGUAAAAUCUCAAGAAACCAAGAUGACAGGCCAGGGACUAAAGAGCAAAAGAAAGACCACAGCUAUGGUGGGCGAGGAGACAAAGUCAAUCCCACCGGGACAGAUGGUGAUGACCCUUAUCAGUUCUAUUCUGUCAUCUCAUAAAGGUAAAGACUUGUGUUCUUUUUCUUAGGACAGUCCAGAUGGUAUUGGCUGUGCUUAAAGAAAAUUCAGACAUGUGUGAGUGUGGCUGGAAUUGACAUUCAUGAGGUCUUCCGUUUUUAUUUGAAAGGGGCAGAGUAAGUAUUUGUGAACAUUGGAUGGUGAUGAAGAAAAGGAAAUGGUGUCUAGUAUCCUACCUGGCCUCAUGGACCAAGACUAGAAGGAUUAGAGGCAAAGUCGAAGGAAGCUGCCACCAUAAAGGGUUCUGUGAAUGCUGUUUGGCUGAAAUGUGUGACAAAGCACUGGGAAGGGUUUCAUUGCAUUAGCUCAGGCCAUAGCACGACCCUUAACCAACACCUUAAGGUGAUGGUCCCCUUGGCAUAAAUAUUGGUGUUAAAAUCGAGGUUAACCUUAGUGAUAGUAUGGUUAAGAGUCCCCUGCAUGACUUUGGAAGUUGAAGAUGCUGAUCAGGAGAACUAGAGCAGGAAAGAGAAAAUAUGACUGAGGCUAAGUGGUGACUUGGUAUUGACUGAUAGGUGAACACAGGAAUGAAUUUCAGCGAGAACCCCCAGUAACUGUCUGGGGAGUGGAGACUGUGUAUGAACAGGACAGAAAAAAAAGCAGAUUCGGGUAGUGUCCUGUCGUGUGUCUCUUUUACAGUCCUGAAAUGAAGGACUUUCAGUGUUUUCAUUGAGCACCAAUCAAUUCCCUCUUUACAAAAGACCAUAUUGGAACAGCAUCAAGGUUUAGGGAUAUUAAAGCAAUACAGUGACACUGGAAUGACCACUGAGAACCAGCGAACUUCUUCAGCCCUUAUAUCCUCAGGCACUCUGGAAGCCAUGAAUCUGGUUUUCUUGCUAAACUGUGUGUACUGCACAGAGUACAAUGGUAAAGGAACAAAUAUUGGCUCUAAAAUCUCUUGUAAAGGGAAGGGUGGUCAUCCCUUUAGAUGGCAAAUUGAGUUUCUGUAAUGGGGUUUGCUCUGAUGUUGCAUUUCCACUCAGGCAUCAAGACAUUCUGUUGUUUAAAGCCCUAGAUGGGUGAUAUUUCUUUCAUGUGCAAGGCCCGAAUGCUUCACUGAGCUCUCUCUUACCCACACACACUCAUUUAAACCUUGGUCAAAAUUAUCCUUUAGCAUCUGCAUCUUCUCAGAAGGCGGAAGGGUCAAUGGGGAUAAUCAGGAGAGAUGAGGUGCACUUUCAGAAGUUGGAGCUGAGAAGGUGAUGGAAGUAUCUGUAAAGUCGUUGAACAGCUGCACGAACUAUAGGGGAAGCAUUUCUGGAGGCAAAAGGGGAAUAGCCCUUUCCUCUUAAACCAAAGCGAGCACAGCUCCAAAGGCACUUAGAUGGAGAGUUCAUCGGAAUGUGAGCUCUAAGAGUGGCUGAGAAUCUGACAAAAACAGCCAUCUGCCAACCCAAAAUUAAAACUCCUCUGUUUAGCACCCAGUAGAGAAAGUCAACCAGAUUGACUUCGCAAACAAAGGACCUUAAAAGCAUCACCUAAGAAAGUGUGUCAGGAUCCACAGACAUCCAGAGCAUUCUCUAUGGUUCAUUACUUACAUUAUUCUUAUCUAUUUACACAUAAUGUUUAGAUGUAAAAUCCUUACAAUGAAAAGGGUGUAUAUGCUUUAAAAAAGGCACAACAGGGAUCUAGAACUAGAAAUACCAUUUGACCCAGCCAUCCCAUUACUGGGUAUAUACCCAAAUGAGUAUAAAUCAUGCUGCUAUAAAG
rnacentral:lncRNA from 1 species